rnacentral:rRNA from 1 species
UAAAACCAUUCUCAGUUCGGAUUGUAGGCUGCAACUCGCCUACAUGAAGCCGGAAUCGCUAGUAAUCGCGGAUCAGCAUGCCGCGGUGAAUACGUUCCCGGGCCUUGUACACACCGCCCGUCACACCACGAGAGUUUGUAACACCCGAAGUCGGUGGGGUAACCUUUUGGAGCCAGCCGCCUAAGGUGGGACAGAUGAUUGGGGUGAAGUCGUAACAAGGUAGCCGUAUCGGAAGGUGCGGCUGGAUCACCUCCUUUCUAUGGAG